rnacentral:rRNA from 1 species
GCCAUGCAGCCGCGGUAAUACGGAGGGUGCAAGCGUUAAUCGGAAUUACUGGGCGUAAAGCGCACGCAGGCGGUUUGUUAAG